rnacentral:rRNA from 1 species
CCUACGGGAGGCAGCAGUGAGGAAUAUUGGUCAAUGGGCGCGAGCCUGAACCAGCCAAGUCGCGUGAGGGAAGACGGUCCUAUGGAUUGUAAACCUCUUUUGUCGGGGAGCAAAAGACGCCACGCGUGGCGUUCCGAGAGUACCCGAAGAAAAAGCAUCGGCUAACUCCGUGCCAGCAGCCGCGGUAAUACGGAGGAUGCGAGCGUUAUCCGGAUUUAUUGGGUUUAACGGGUGCGCAGGCGGAAGAUCAAGUCAGCGGUAAAAGUGAGAGGCUCAACCUCUUCGAGCCGUUGAAACUGGUUUUCUUGAGUGAGUGAGAGGUAUGCGGAAUGCGUGGUGUAGCGGUGAAAUGCAUAGAUAUCACGCAGAACUCCGAUUGAGAAGGCAGCAUACCGGCGCUCAACUGACGCUCAUGCACGAAAGUGUGGGUAUCGAACAGGAUUAGAUACCCCAGUAGUC